UAGGGAAUCUUCGGCAAUGGGGGGAACCCUGACCGAGCAACGCCGCGGGAGUGAAGAAGGUUUUCGGAUCGUAAAGCUCUGUUGUUAAGGAAGAACGAGUGUGAGAAUGGAAAGUUCAUGCUGUGACGGUACUUAACCAGAAAGGGACGGCUAACUACGUGCCAGCAGCCGCGGUAAUACGUAGGUCCCGAGCGUUGUCCGGAUUUAUUGGGCGUAAAGCGAGCGCAGGCGGUUAGAUAAGUCUGAAGUUAAAGGCAGUGGCUCAACCAUUGUAGGCUUUGGAAACUGUUUAACUUGAGUGCAGAAGGGGAGAGUGGAAUUCCAUGUGUAGCGGUGAAAUGCGUAGAUAUAUGGAGGAACACCGGUGGCGAAAGCGGCUCUCUGGUCUGUAACUGACGCUGAGGCUCGAAAGCGUGGGGAGCGAACAGG
rnacentral:rRNA from 1 species